ACUUUAUAAAUAAUUAAGAUUUUAUUAAAGCUUAAAUAAAAAUUUUAUCUUUUUAUUUUAUUUUGUUGGGGCGACAAAGGUAUAAUUUAUUUAGCUACCUAACUUUUAUACAAAUUUUUCGAUUUUAUCUCUUUGAUCCUUUCUAAAGAUUAAAAGACUAAGUU
rnacentral:rRNA from 1 species